UACGUAGGUGGCAAGCGUUGUCCGGAAUUAUUGGGCGUAAAGCGCGCGCAGGCGGUUCCUUAAGUCUGAUGUGAAAUCUUGCGGCUCAACCGCAAGCGGUCAUUGGAAACUGGGGAACUUGAAGACAGAAGAGGAGAGCGGAAUUCCACGUGUAGCGGUGAAAUGCGUAGAGAUGUGGAGGAACACCAGUGGCGAAGGCGGCUCUCUGGUCUGUGCUUGACGCUGAGGCGCGAAAGCGUGGGGAGCGAACAGGAUUAGAAACCCCGGUAGUCC
rnacentral:rRNA from 1 species